AUUGAACGCUGGCGGCAUGCCUUACACAUGCAAGUCGAACGGUAACGGGCCUUCGGGUGCCGACGAGUGGCGAACGGGUGAGUAAUACAUCGGAACGUGCCCGAUCGUGGGGGAUACGAGGCGAAAGCUUUGCUAAUACCGCAUACGAUCUACGGAUGAAAGCAGGGGACCGCAAGGCCUUGCGCGGACGGAGCGGCCGAUGGCAGAUUAGGUAGUUGGUGGGAUAAAAGCUUACCAAGCCGACGAUCUGUAGCUGGUCUGAGAGGAUGAUCAGCCACACUGGGACUGAGACACGGCCCAGACUCCUACGGGAGGCAGCAGUGGGGAAUUUUGGACAAUGGGCGCAAGCCUGAUCCAGCCAUGCCGCGUGCAGGAUGAAGGCCUUCGGGUUGUAAACUGCUUUUGUACGGAACGAAAAGCCUUCCUUUAAUACAGGAGGGUCAUGACGGUACCGUAAGAAUAAGCACCGGCUAACUACGUG
rnacentral:rRNA from 1 species